rnacentral:rRNA from 1 species
AUUGAACGCUGGCGGCAGGCCUAACACAUGCAAGUCGAGCGGAUGAAGGGAGCUUGCUCCUGGAUUCAGCGGCGGACGGGUGAGUAAUGCCUAGGAAUCUGCCUGGUAGUGGGGGAUAACGUCCGGAAACGGGCGCUAAUACCGCAUACGUCCUGAGGGAGAGAGUGGGGGAUCUUCGGACCUCACGCUAUCAGAUGAGCCUAGGUCGGAUUAGCUAGUUGGUGGGGUAAAGGCCUACCAAGGCGACGAUCCGUAACUGGUCUGAGAGGAUGAUCAGUCACACUGGAACUGAGACACGGUCCAGACUCCUACGGGAGGCAGCAGUGGGGAAUAUUGGACAAUGGGCGAAAGCCUGAUCCAGCCAUGCCGCGUGUGUGAAGAAGGUCUUCUGAUUGUAAAGCACUUUAAGUUGGGAGGAAGGGCAGUAAGUUAAUACCUUGCUGUUUUGACGUUACCAACAGAAUAAGCACCGGCUAACUUCGUG